rnacentral:sRNA from 1 species
UUCCGUAGGUGAACUGCGGAGGGAUCAUUACCGAGUUAUACAACUCAUCAACCCUGUGAACAUACCUAAAACGUUGCUUCGGCGGGAACAGACGGCCCUGUAACAACGGGCCGCCCCCGCCAGAGGACCCCUAACUCUGUUUUUAUAAUGUUUUUCUGAGUAAACAAGCAAAUAAAUUAAAACUUUCAACAACGGAUCUCUUGGCUCUGGCAUCGAUGAAGAACGCAGCGAAAUGCGAUAAGUAAUGUGAAUUGCAGAAUUCAGUGAAUCAUCGAAUCUUUGAACGCACAUUGCGCCCGCCAGUAUUCUGGCGGGCAUGCCUGUUCGAGCGUCAUUACAACCCUCAGGCCCCCGGGCCUGGCGUUGGGGAUCGGCGGAAGCCCCCUGUGGGCACACGCCGUCCCUCAAAUACAGUGGCGGUCCCGCCGCAGCUUCCAUUGCGUAGUAGCUAACACCUCGCAACUGGAGAGCGGCGCGGCCAUGCCGUAAAACACCCAACUUCUGAAUGUUGACCUCGAAUCAGGUAGGAAUACCCGCUGAACUUAAGCAUAUCAAUAAGCGGAGGA